UACUUGUGAUGACAUGUUUCACAUUCUCUGAAAAUGACAAAGCAGGUGGCUGUAUGUACCAGUCUACAUUUACUACUGCAGGAUAUCGAAGGAGGAAAUGUAGACUGUUACAUACAGCCACCUGUAUUGUAAACUUCAGAGAAUGUGGAACAUGUCAUCACAAGUA